UGUUUUAGAAGAGAAGCAUUUAUUAGAUAAAAAACCAAUAUAUGUUUUUAAAGCAUAAAAUUUGGUGAUUUACAAUAACUAAGCAAAUCGCACAGUGCAAACUGGCGAUAAAUCAUUCAAGUUUCUGACCUAUCAGCUUUCGACGGUAUGGUAUUGGCUUACCGUGGCAGUGACGGUUAACGGGGGAUUAGGGUUCGAUUCCGGAGAGGGAGCCUGAGAAACGGCUACCACAUCUAAGGAAGGCAGCAGGCGCGCAAAUUACCCAAUUCUAACAGCAUAAGAGAGGUAGUGACAAGAAAUAACAGUACAAGGCAGUUAAAAUGCUUUGUAAUUGGAAUGAUAGAAAUUUAAAUACUUUUUAAAGUAUCAAUUGGAGGGCAAGUCUGGUGCCAGCAGCCGCGGUAAUUCCAGCUCCAAUAGCGUAUAUUAAAAUUGUUGCAGUUAAAAAGCUCGUAGUUGAAUUUUUGCUAAAAAUAACCGGUCUGCUUUUAUUAAUAAAAGUGGUAUCUUGGUGUGUUUUUAGCAAUAACGUCCUUUGAAAUGUUUUUUACUUUAUUGUAAAAAGCAAUUUUCAGGAUUUUUACUUUGAGAAAAUUAGAGUGUUUCAAGCAGGCUAACGUUUUGAAUA
rnacentral:rRNA from 1 species